AGAGUUUGAUCCUGGCUCAGGAUGAACGCUGGCGGCGUGCUUAACACAUGCAAGUCGAACGAAGCACUUUAUUUGAUUUCUUCGGAAUGAAGAUUUUGUGACUGAGUGGCGGACGGGUGAGUAACGCGUGGGUAACCUGCCUCAUACAGGGGGAUAACAGUUGGAAACGACUGCUAAUACCGCAUAAGCGCACAGGGUCGCAUGACCUGGUGUGAAAAACUCCGGUGGUAUGAGAUGGACCCGCGUCUGAUUAGCCAGUUGGUGGGGUAACGGCCUACCAAAGCGACGAUCAGUAGCCGACCUGAGAGGGUGACCGGCCACAUUGGGACUGAGACACGGCCCAAACUCCUACGGGAGGCAGCAGUGGGGAAUAUUGCACAAUGGGGGAAACCCUGAUGCAGCGACGCCGCGUGAGCGAAGAAGUAUUUCGGUAUGUAAAGCUCUAUCAGCAGGGAAGAAGAAAUGACGGUACCUGACUAAGAAGCACCGGCUAAAUACGUGCCAGCAGCCGCGGUAAUACGUAUGGUGCAAGCGUUAUCCGGAUUUACUGGGUGUAAAGGGAGCGCAGGCGGUACGGCAAGUCUGAUGUGAAAGCCCGGGGCUCAACCCCGGUACUGCAUUGGAAACUGUCGGACUAGAGUGUCGGAGGGGUAAGUGGAAUUCCUAGUGUAGCGGUGAAAUGCGUAGAUAUUAGGAGGAACACCAGUGGCGAAGGCGGCUUACUGGACGAUAACUGACGCUGAGGCUCGAAAGCGUGGGGAGCAAACAGGAUUAGAUACCCUGGUAGUCCACGCCGUAAACG
rnacentral:rRNA from 1 species